ACCCCUACGUUCGGAUUGUAGGCUGCAACUCGCCUACAUGAAGCUGGAAUUGCUAGUAAUCAUAGGUCAGCAUACUAUGGUGAAUACGUUCCCGGGCCUUGUACACACCGCCCGUCACACCAUGAGAGUUGAGAAUACCCGAAGUCCAUGUUAAAGUGGCCGAAGGUAGGCUUGAUGAUUGGGUGAAGUCGUAACAAGGUAAC
rnacentral:rRNA from 1 species